UACAGAGGGGGCAAGCGUUGUUCGGAAUUACUGGGCGUAAAGGGCGCGUAGGCGGCCUUCUAAGUCGGACGUGAAAUCCCCGGGCUCAACCCGGGAACUGCGUCCGAUACUGGGAGGCUCGAAUCCGGGAGAGGGAUGUGGAAUUCCAGGUGUAGCGGUGAAAUGCGUAGAUAUCUGGAGGAACACCGGUGGCGAAGGCGGCAUCCUGGACCGGUAUUGACGCUGAGGCGCGAAAGCCAGGGGAGCAAACGGG
rnacentral:rRNA from 1 species